UCAGUAACACGUAGUCAACAUGCCCAGGGGACGUGGAUAACCUCGGGAAACUGAGGAUAAACCGCGAUAAGUCACUACUUCUGGAAUGGGUAAUGACUUAAAUCUAUAUGGCCCCUGGAUUGGACUGCGGCCGAUCAGGCUGUUGGUGAGGUAAUGGCCCACCAAACCUGUAACCGGUACGGGCUCUGAGAGGAGGAGCCCGGAGAUGGGCACUGAGACAAGGGCCCUAGGCCCUAUGGGGCGCAGCAGGCGCGAAACCUCUGCAAUAGGCGAAAGCCUGACAGGGUUACUCUGAGUGAUUUCCGUUAAGGAGAUCUUUUGGCACCUCUAAAAAUGGUGCAGAAUAAGGGUGGCAAGUCUGGUGCCAGC
rnacentral:rRNA from 1 species